rnacentral:rRNA from 1 species
AAUCUUCCACAAUUGACGAAAGUCUGAUGGAGCAAUGACGCGUGAGUAAUGAAGGAUCUCGGAUCGUUAAGCCCUGUUGUAAGGGAAGAACAAGUACAGGAGUAACUGUCUGUACCUUGACGGUACCUUACCAAAAAGCCACUGCUAACUCCGUGCCAGCAGCAGCGGUAAUACGUAGGUGGCAAGUGUUGUCCGGAAUUAUUGGGCGUAAAGCGCGCGCAGGCGGUCCUUUAAGACUGAGUAGAAAGCCCACGGCUCAACCGUGGAGGGUCAUUGGAAACUGGAGGACUUGAGUACAGAAGAGGAAAGCGGAAUUCGACGUGUAGCGGUGAAAAGCGUAGAGAUGUGGAGGAACACCAGCGGCGAAGGCGGCUUUCUGGUCUGUAACUGACGCUGAGGCGCGAAAGCGUGGGGAUCAAACA